rnacentral:rRNA from 1 species
AUGAACCCGGCAUCGGCCCCUGGGCCGGAUGGCUUGCCUGUUCGCUUCUUUCAGGCAUUCUGGUCCAUCAUCAAGGAUGAUGUCUUAGCCCUGUUCCUCGAGUUCUCUAGAGGAACCCUUGAUGUGGCCCGCCUGAAUUAUGGGAUUAUUUCCCUGAUCCUGAAAAUCCGCGAGGCUACGGAUAUUAGGCAAUUCAGACCGAUUACGGUCCUCAAUGUUAUCUUUCGGAUUUUGGCGAAGGGUUAUGCCACUAGGGCGGCCCUUCUUGCACCGAGAAUCCAUCACCCCAAUCAAUCGGCCUUCACCAAAGGUCGAUUUAUCUUGGAUGGGAUCCUAGUCCUUCAUGAAAUCCUGCAUGAAGUUAGGCAAAAACGACUCCGUGCGGUCUUUUUCAAGAUCGAUUUUCACAAGGCGUAUGACUCGGUCCAUUGGUCCUUCCUUCGGGAGGUGAUGCUCAAACGCGGAUUCGACCCUCAUUGA